UCUGAGCACUAUGGGACUUAACAUCUGAGGUCCUCAGCCCCCUAGACCUUAGAACUACUUAAACCUAAAUAACCUAAGGACAUCACACACGUCCAUGCCCGAGGCAGAAUUCGAACCUGCGACCGUAGCGGAGAGCCAGAGUAAAAGCAUAUAUAAGAAAUGGUACAUUGCAUCUGCAGCUUCUUCCAGAAGUGAGUCUGAAAAGUAAUGUUUGUUUGUGAACAAAGCUGAGUGCAGGUGGUGUUCAUUUGUAGUUAUUGAAAGUUAAAUAACUGUUUCAGUGUAGUUGUGAAUGUGUAAUUUAUUCAGCACAAGUACGUACUUCCUACAUGUUUAUGGCACUGGACUUGACUUGAAUUUGGGAGGCUAGGAUUUCAAAUCCCUCUGCUGUCAGUCAGUCAUCUUUGUUUAGGUUUUCCUAAAUCUCUUAAGGUGAAUGUCAAGAUGAUAACAUUCAGCUCUUUGUCAAUUUGCCCAGUCCUGACACUAUAUAGACUGACAAUAUGUUAAUUCCUACUAAUUUUUAUGUGGCUAUUUCUAUAAUGUUUUGAUGUUAAUAUACUAUUGUUCAAAGCCCAGAGAUGAGAUGAAUAAAUAAAAUUUCAAUUAA